UACAGAGGGUGCGAGCGUUAAUCGGAAUUACUGGGCGUAAAGCGUGCGUAGACGGUUAUUUAAGUCGGAUGUGAAAGCCCCGGGCUCAACCUGGGAAUUGCAUUCGAGACUGAAUAGCUAGGGUGCGGUAGAGGGAAGCGGAAUUUCCGGUGUAGCGGUGAAAUGCGUAGAUAUCGGAAGGAACACCAGUGGCGAAGGCGGUCUCCUGGAGCAUUCUUGACGCUGAGACGCGAAAGCUGGGGGAGCGAACGGG
rnacentral:rRNA from 1 species